rnacentral:misc_RNA from 1 species
AACCUAGCACACCUGCGGUGUGUACCUGCGGAAGGAUCAUUACUGAGUGUAAAAACUCCCAAACCCAUUGUGAACAUACCACUGUUGCUUCGGCGGAUACGCCCCGGGCGCGCUCUUCACAGGGCGUGCCCCGGAACCAGGCGCCCGCCGGGGGACCGAAACUCUUGUUUUCUUAGGAUCUCUGAGUGUGAUUAUUAAAUAAAUCAAAACUUUUAGCAAUGGAUCUCAGAUCGGAAGAGC